UCACCUUCUCCUGAUCCACCUUUAUGUGAGAAUAGACAGAUUAUGAUGUGUGAGUGUUGUUUAGAACAGAGAGUGGUCGGAUUGAAGGAGAACAGAGUGAAGACAGUAAGUGAGAAUUAAAGAGACUGCAAUGGAGAAUAAGAGAGAUUAAGUGAGAUUUGAGAGAGUAUGAGAGAGAUUCUUGUAACCAGAGAUUAGGAGAGUAUAAGAGACUUGAGAAUGGUGAAGAAGAAAGGAGAAACUCUCCCAUUCAGCUUAAUUUCGUAAUGGUUACAAUGGGGUGGCUUUAUAGCCAGAUUACAAGUUGCAAGUGAUUAAACAAUUGUUAAAGUACAGAUUUACUAAACUAAUAUUAUUGUAGGGUUUCUGAUGGAGCCAGGAGGAUGCAGCCAAGGAGAAUCUCGACCAGAGGGAGUAGAGAGUGACAGGAGAGAGAGAUGGGCACAGUCUGGUUGGGUGAAAGUGACAGCAGAAAGCUCAGCUGGACGAGUUCCCCACUUGCCUUGACUUCCAAGACACUCUAGGUUAGGUUUGGUUACUUGCAAGCCAAAACUGUACGGACAGAUUCAAAUCUGCUUGUUCCGGAUUUGCUUGCUCUUGAAGCUUGGUCUCUUCAUCAACUCCAGCUUCUUACUUCUUCAUUCCAACACUCCCCCUCAAGCUUGACCAUAGGAGAUCCUUGGACAAGCUUGGAACCUUGAAGAAGCUCCCUCAUUAAAAACCUUAGCAAGAAAACCCAUUGGGACAAAACUUGCUAAGGGAAAAAGAGUGGAGUUUCCACAAAGCUUAGGGAUUGGCCAGUGAGCCUAAGGAACUUCAGAUUCAUCAUGGUGGAGUCCUUAGGCUCUGGAUCGUGGCCUAAUAGGUAUAGCAAGUAUGAAUCACCAUAACUUGCUAUCCUUGAGCACAAGUAGCCGGCUGGAUCAUUUUGUGGCCGGUUUAGGGUCUCCCCCUCUCAACUGGCUUCAAGCCACCUUAGGAAGGCAAGGAAACGACCAGACCAUCUUCUCUGAACCCCCAGCAAAGUUACUUGUUCUUUAGAACUUGGCUUGACCUCUUCAUGGAACCAUAGACUCGGUUAGGGUCUCCCCCUCUCAACUGACUUCUUUGGCCAUCUUAGAAAGGCUAGGACAUGACCGGAUCAUCAUCAUCAUCUUCAGUGAGGCUCAAGCUUAUUUUGGUACCUGAUACAUCAUUUCAAAAGUGCAUCAGUUCUUAAGGAAAUGCACUCAUCACAUCAAACUCAAUAAUAGUUUAAGUAUAAGGACAAUCAUGAAUGUAUUGAGAUGAGUUUAAGGUGCUUCCCUUUUAUAAGAA